CUCUAUACCCAUCAUAUUUUUAUGGUUUUUGUCAAUGAUAUAGUUUUGAUUGAUGAGACUUAAGGGAGGAAAAUUAAGUUAGACAACAACAACAAUCAUAACCUUAUCCCAACUAAAUGGGGUCGGUUACAUGGAUCCAAUUUGGAAAUCAGAAAAUAAAGAAGCACAAAAGAGAGGAGGUUAGAAUGAGGAAAAAUGGAGAUAAGAGAAGAAGGUUAUAACCAAAGGAUUUCAAAAUAACAUUAAAGAAGAUUGCAUAUAAAGGAGUGCAUUUUCAAGGGGGAAGAAGUAGAUGGAAAUGAGGAGUUCCAUUAAUAACCUGUUGUGUUAUUGGAUUUUUGUUUUCUUCGUGAUUUUUUCUUCUCCUUCUACUUCACCUCGCUACUUAUUCUUCUACUUUCCAGAUCGGUUUCCUUACCAAAACCCUGUCCAAAGGGUAAAUUGCCAUGAGGAUCAGCUUCUUGGGAAGAUGAAGAACAAUCGCCCGAUACACAUCACUGUCUAUGUAGGGGAAAUCGUGCUCCCAAGCAAGAUUAUAGAUAGAUCCCGGUCAGCCGUGAAUGUUACAACUAGUUGCGUCCAAGGUUAUAGGUAUUGGUAGCGGUAUUGGAAGUAUGUUAUUUUUUACCGGUACAACCGAUUGUAUUGAUAUUUAUUGGUAUCAAUCUCUGGCAAUACCAAUACAUAUCGGCAUAUAUACCGAUACCUUAACCAUGGUUGUAUCCCAGAUUAGAUUAAAACCUAAACAGUGGAGAGGGUAAAUAGCCAAAACUCUCUUACUUGCCUUCUUUAUUUUUAUUCUUGACACCAUAGCCCCUCUACGAAGAAUUAGUUAUUUUGCAAAAGGGUUACAAUAAUGUAGUUGUAAACAUAUUGAGAAAGAUAUAAAAUGAAAACUAAAGAAGGCAAGUGAGAGAGUUUUAGUGAUCUAUACCCCACAGAAUGCUACCAGUCUUUGCAAUUUACCCAUUUUAGUUUUUACUAGAAGACAGUUGAGCUAGUAACUUGAUUCAGAGAGCAACCCCAAUUCCAAAGAGUAUAGAAGUAGAAAGAAGCAGCAGGAAGAUGGAGAAGAAAGCAGGAGAAAUAAUAUUCAAGGGAUGUAAUUUUUUUUUUUUUUCAAAAGUAUUCAUGAUGGUGUUUUGGAGGAGUCUAUGCAUAUGAACUUUGUUAAUUUCCAUUCUAUUACUAGAUCUUCAAAGAUUCCAGUAUGAAGGUAAAACUUACUUUUAGUUCUAUGGGUAGUUGAGCUUAAGUUCGUAGCUAAAAUUCAUCUUAAUGGGAUGAAUUGUAAGAGACCAAUAAUCGAAGUAGGACAUUGAUUAUUGAUAUCAUGUAUCCAAUGAGAUACGCGGGUUCUCAUACAUUUAUUACCACAGUUAAUAACUUUCUUAGUAAGGACAGUACUCGGUUUGUUUCAUCGGUUACAGUUUUCCUCCUUCCAGCUCAUCGGUUACAGUUUUCCUCCUUCCAGUUCAUCAGUUACUGUUUUCCUCCUUCCAGCUUCUGCUAUAUAUGCCUCCAACAAUUCCUCUGGAAGCAUGAAGCCUUAGACUCUUCUUCUUUACCAACUUAUCUAGUCUUUGGCCUGACCACUGGGAAACCUUGGGAAACUUCAACUAGGUUUUUCUUGUUGAAGAGGUGGUGUGAAAAAAAUUGUGUAGAUUCUGCAGAGCUGGUUGAUCUCACACGAGGACUGUAGAUUUACUUGGUCCAACAAGUGCUCAAGUAAGGGAAGAAUAUAGUAUAGGCACAAAUUAGUCCUAAACAAUCAGAGCUUGAUUUCUCAAUACCCUAUCUGAUGCUACCUCUGUUAACCCUGGCACUUAUAUCCAAUCUCCUAUGAUGGCUACAUAGUCUUAUCUAGAGUUUUCUCCACACCUGAAAACAAGAUGAUGGACUCCAUUUCUAGGCUUGGAACAUUUUUUGACCUUUCACUCCAUCAUCUUGACAAAUAUAACUUUUUUGUUAUUUUCAGCUCUAUUUAUCUAACAUAAUGACUUGUUUCCCUAUGGUAACUGUUGUUUCAUUUCUUCAAGCAGUUUCUAACGUUAUGCCAUCUAUUUACAGUGAUGAAGAAGCCCUCUUUCUUUUCAGCUAAGGACAAUGAGAAGACGGGAAAAGAAAACAAAACAAAUUGGAUGCUUCUCAUAGGAACAAAAAGAACGAAACAAUUUGGAUGCGAAUUGCUGGGGGAAUGUUUUCAUCGGAUCAAUGAUUUACCAGUACCUAAAAUCAUCUUCUUAGAUCUUUGUUCUCAGAUGGAGUGGUAAUCAUUUUACCUGUUUCCCCUCUAGAUUUUCUUGCUGAAUUUAUAAUAUCUUCAAGAAAUUGUGUUAUGAGACUAUCCAGGCCAGGAAUCGCAUGAUGACACUUAUUUAAGCAAUGAAAGAUAUAUCGCAUGAUACACUUAUUUAAGCAAUGAAAGAUAUCUAAACAAAUAUCUGACGUAAUUCCGUUCAUCUGCUUCCAGCGCCUCACAGAUUAGGUUCUCAAUCACAAUUCUACUUUAAUGAUUAUCGAAAAACACAGAACAAUGUGCUUCAGAUGCAACCUAUUGAAGCUUAUCUCAGAAGGUGAUUACUACUUUGUGGAUCUCAUUGUGGAAAUGGGGUCCCAAUGUAAUGGAACCGAGGAUAAUAAGGUAACAUAUGAUCAAACCCAUUCUUGCUGAACUUGAAUCUACUGGCCCAGUUGAUGGUGAAUUUGGAAUUUCACUACUUCCAGCAGCUGGGAAGCUCUUGAUGAUUUCUUCCGCCAAAAGAUUAGGUUAUCCCGAUCAAGCCCUAGCAUGAAAGAGGUUGUGCAAAGACAUGUUGAGGAAGUUGUGCCCUAUUCCUGGCAAGGAAAGGAAACUAUAUGCAGUGGGUACUCCAAAAAGUCUUACCAUGGAGAAAUGAGAUGAUGGAUAUCAAGUGCUCAAUAGAUUUUUCUGGGACUAAUGCACUGCAUUAGGCAGCACGGUAGUACGGCUCAAGAUGGGGAUCCCUCUGCUGUGGCUUCUGCUACUUCUGCUAUUGUUGGUAAUGUUGUCCAAGCUUUAGCAAAACUGCCAGGUUUCAUGCCAGGCAGUCAUUAUCUGAACUUCCCAUCCACAAUAAGCUCAUUGAAUUAUGCUCAAUGCCUUGCACAAAUUCACAUUACCUGCCUCUGCUUACUUAAGGAAGCUAGAGCCAAAGCUGUAUAUUUGAGAUAGCUUUUGCAACAGAAUCUUUGUCUGCUGUUUCAGGAGCCUUUGCACUUGGAACUGAUAAGCUUCUAACAGUUGCAAUAGAGAGGAAUUAAACCGGAAAGAUUCCUGUCUUGAAGCACAUCUUGAAGAGGUGAGGUGUACAGGGAAGGGGAAGUUGCACAGGUGGUGCAUGGAGGAGAUGAAGAGGAAAGUGAAGGACAAAAAUGUCAAACAAAAAAAAUGUAUGUGGGAGAGGGAGGAGCAUUGUUUUGGGUAGUUUUGUAAUACCCAACUUUGUCUUAGUAAUUUGGUUAAAGGAAAGAUUAGGUGGGUACUUUGAUAAACUAAAACAUUUGUGAAUAGUUUUGUCUUUGAGGUGGGAAAACCAUUUCGGGAGCUUCCUGUCUUUCAGAAGUUCAGUCUAAUUGGGCUUUGGAGGGGGUGCCUGGUGUACGAGAUCGAACCAAACCAAUUGACAACAAUGCUUUGGAGAUUGAUUUGAUUCAAUCUUGAAAGCAUUGAAAGUAUAGCGCUACGGCUGCUUAAGGUUAAGUGAACCACAUAAGCAGAUGAAACGGAUUCAUUUGGUCAGGGUGGUGGGUGUUGAGGCCUACCUCGGGAUAUUACCCUAUCGUAUCACCCUGCAUCUCUGGCUUGUGAUAUGCCCUUGUUGCUCAAGACAGGAAGGAGUAGCUAGCAUAUGCAACAGCUGGUCUAUCAGGGGCGGAUUGGUGAACAGCUAUAUAUACAAAUCCAUUUACGAAUCUAUAUGCUCCGAUUGGAACUGGAAGUUCCAGAACAUGCGGCUGGUAUUCCACAAUAAUAAAACUGCCUUUUAUUUUUUGUAUUCGGAUAGGAUUUCUGUUGGCUCAAUUUUAAGUAAUCUUGUAUUUUUCCCUAUUUUUUAUACCAUCUUUUCAUGUGUGGCUUGUUGAUUGAUAGGUCCUGGAAAAUGGAAUAAAUUAUGGCCAAUAUAUGAGUAUUCAAAUUGGACCGCUAUUGGUGUGUUUCAUGAGUAUCAGGAGUCAAUAUUCAAAAUAGGCUGGAAGAUAUAACAGCAACAACUACUACUACUACGACUACUGGAAGGUACCAACCUCUAUGCAUUCAUUUUGCUUAUGGCAUAUGCAUGGAUAGAUACACCCAGAUAUGAUUAACUUCUGAUACAGAAGUUGACAUCAUGAAGCAGCUUCACUCUAUUGAGAUUCGGAAUUGUUAGUAGAAUUCUUUAUGGAGGAAGAAGAAUUUCUUUCUUUGAUCUUCUUAUGAGCCUCUUCUCCUUGCGGAGGUUAUAUAGAGAAAAGAUAGGGUAUUUGGAUAUUAUUUGUAUCAAUGAUUUGGUCAAUAAUGAUUACAGCCUCUUAAGCAAUAGGGUUGACCAUUCUCGCUUGGUUGAUAAUCAUGGAAGGCAAUGCUGGUACUGAAUCCCACAAUUGUUGCCCAAAUGCACAGCUCCUUCAGCUGCAAGAAGAGCUCUGCAAUUCAUCUGUACAUAAAUCUAUGCAAUAUUCAAGUGCAUACUGGAAUGGUCCUUUCUUCUCUGUCCAUUAUAUUGGAAAACUGUAGUGUACAUCAUUACUGGACAGUCAAGAGGAAGAAAAUUUUGCAUCUCCACCACAGGGAGCUUGUGCUGAUGAAGAUAAACUCUUAUUUUUAAACUCAUGUUGAUCUCAUAUCUGUUGGAAGUUUUCAGCUUAAAUGCUUAAGCUCAUGGGUGGAGUUACCUUCCAAGUGUAUAGUCUCAACUCCAAGGUCCCAGUAAACUGAUGUGGAACUAUUCCCAACAUUAUCUUUUGUUAUCAUGUAAGGUCCUUGCCAUCUGUUCUAACAAACUUUAUUAAUGCAAUCCUAUAAAGGGACUUAAGAUAAACUCAUGCCAUUCUUGUGCUGCUACUGA